UGCAGACUCUCUCCUGGGAGCUGCUACAUGGUUAGAGCUAGAGCCAAGGUGUGUCGAGCCACAGACAGAUUCCAAGCUGCCUGCAGAACUCAGAGAACUGACCAAGCCAUCAGGAGCUGCACCAGCUGAGGACCCCAGAGACCCAGGGGAACUGUGAACCACCGAGACGUGGGAACAUACAGAAGAACCUUGAUGACACUAAUUACUGGGAGACCCUUCCACCCUCUGAUCCUGGGGCACAAGAUAAAGUAGCCUCAAGGCUGAUGUAAAUUUUUCCUGCUUGAAUGGCUCCUCCAUGGGCCAUUAUGCUCCAGCCAUGCCAUGCCUCUAUACCAGGGCAGAGCCAGCAAGGGGAGUCCAAAGGAGAGAAGCAAUGAGGAGGAGACAUGGAUUUCAGCCGAGUCUUCCGUGCGUCUGUGCAUAUGCGGAGAGCACUGGCAGUGUUACCAACUGCCAUUUAAUGAACCAGAUGGACCUUGAAAAGUCUCUAGACAGUGCAAAAUAUCUAUAAACUCCAGAGAGCCUGUGUUAGAGUCUGGCCAACUGCCUGAUUGCUUUCUAUUGGUCUCUGUCAUUGCAUGGUACAAAGAUGUCCGAACUCCACAUUACUUUCUAGAUUUUAUGCCUGAUUCUACUGCUAUUAAAGUAACUGACUUGGAGCAGCCUAAACAGUAGGAGUGUUGUAACCAACAACAAAACCAGAGUGCAUAUGAUUGCAAUGUUUUGAUAUUUGGUAACGCUUUUAUAGAAUUGUUUGCAGGGGUACAUUUUAAUGAACAAUUCCCUUCCUCUGUUUCUGUUUCUUAUUUUUUGAAAAACAUGGUUAACAUAUGAACUACAUCAGUAUAACCUUGAACUAUUCUAUAUGGGUUUUACCCGAAC